AUUGAACGCUGGCGGCAGGCCUAACACAUGCAAGUCGAGCGGAUGAAGGGAGCUUGCUCCUGGAUUCAGCGGCGGACGGGUGAGUAAUGCCUAGGAAUCUGCCUGGUAGUGGGGGAUAACGUCCGGAAACGGGCGCUAAUACCGCAUACGUCCUGAGGGAGAAAGUGGGGGAUCUUCGGACCUCACGCUAUCAGAUGAGCCUAGGUCGGAUUAGCUAGUUGGUGGGGUAAAGGCCUACCAAGGCGACGAUCCGUAACUGGUCUGAGAGGAUGAUCAGUCACACGGAAAGGGAGACAGGCCCCAGGCCCCCAGGGAGGGGGACAGUGGGAAAUUUGGGAGAAGGGGGGAAGACCUGACCACGCCAGGGGCGGGGUGGAAAGAGGGUCUUGGGUUUGAAAAGCACUUUGUGUGGGGAGGAAGGGCAGUAAGUUAAACCCGGCCUGUUUGACGGUUCCCAAAGAAAAAACCACGGCUAAAUUCGGG
rnacentral:rRNA from 1 species